CCAAGACAGCUCAAGGGGAAGAGUUGGAAAGAACUGCUGCAAAUGAUAGCAAAUCAGGAAGUUAAUGUGGGAGCCUGCCCAUUAGAAGCAGACAGCGGGAGAGAGGUCUCUGAAAGAAAUCAGCAACCUCAGCUGCUGGAAAUUUACCUCUUGUGUGGAGCAUAAGGAGAGUCUUUUCCCCACUUAAUCCUCAAUACAAAGUGUGAUGAGGCUUAUUCAGGACCUGGCAGAGGCAGCUCUCCGGACCAGCAGCCUCUUACUCGCCCUUCAGCAGCACUGACCCUGCAGCAGCCCCACAUCACCCACAGAGCAGCCAGCUCCACCUGACCACAGCCCUGGGGUCUGCCCUGCCAAGCCUGCUCCCCACCUCUGCUCAUCCCACACCAGUUCCUUUAACACUCCCAAGGCCUUGACCACAUCGUACCUGUCCCAUAUUUCUCUGCACCACAUCACAAGGUUACAGUGAUGAGCUAUAACAGCACCACUGCAACAAUAAGCAAAGGAAAAGCAAGUAGCCACAGCCACCAGCUCCAAAGAACAAUUGCUCUUAAGGAGAAGGAGAAGAGGAGGCUCAGGGGAGACCUCAUGACCCUCUCCAGCUCCUGGCAAGGACAUUAUGACGAGGUGGGAGUCAACCUCUGCUCACAGCUAACAGCAGUAGGAAAGAGGGAACGGUUUGAAGUUGCACCAGGGGACAUUCAGGUUGGAUAUUAGGAAAAAUUUCUUCUCAGUGGUGAAGCAGUGGCACAGGCUGCCCAGGGAGGUGGAGGAGUCACUGUCUCUGGAGAUAUUCAAGAAUCAUGGAGAUGUGGCACAGAGGGACAUGGUCAGCGGGCAUGGUGGGGAUGGGUUUGGGUUGGACUUUGUCACCUCAGUGGUCUUCUCCUCGGCACAAAGCCUGGGGCCGGUCACCAGCACCGGCAAUGCCACGGCUGUGUUAAUGUGUGGCUGUGGUUCACAUUUGCUCCCCAUUCUGCCCAGCCUCACAGCUGAGGGUCUGAGGACUAGCCCAAGCUCAGGAGGUCUCUGUUCACCGAGAUUAACAAAGAAUAGUUCAGGUAUUGGUGCCUCCUGAACUAUGUUAAUACAAGUUUAGGGAACCGCUGGAAUAAACGAUGUUGAAUUAAUACGAAGCUAAAAAUAGGGCAAUCAGGUGGAAUCUUUAGCUGCUGUAAUAGUUGAGCUACAAAAUUAUACUGACCUUGGCUCGUGAUGCUGCAACUCUGAAUUCCAGUUUCAACUUAGAGAUCUGGAUGUGGCAUCUGGGUCAGCUCCUUCAUCUUUCCUGAACCUGAGGAGCAGUGCUACACCUUUGCUUCUGUCUGAAAUAAAAGCAGCUACGAAAGGAUAGUUUACUGGGUAAGUAUUAACACUGAACUAUAGCUGUUGGAGGAUGGUGAAACAAUGGCAGCCGUACCAUGGUCCCAAACUAUCAGAACUGCACUUCCACUUCCAGCUGAGAAGCGAAAGACAAGCUUAGAGUGUGGGUUGGGCACCGUGGUGCUGCCUGUCUGAUUGAACAGAUCCCAUUUAAUCACAUCAAGGCACGUAUUUCUCCAUUAUUAUCCAUGGUUGAUAUUUAGAAACCAAAAGGCAACCCUAUUUAAGAAAUUGGGCAAUCAGAAUCGCAUUAGUAGAGCAAACGUACAUCUGGAAUUAAUUAUAAAAGGAAGAAAAAGAGGUUGUGCUCUUUUGAUCUUUUAGAAUGUAAACAAAAGGUCCGAUAAAUCUGGUUGCCCGCACAUCUCCCAUCUUACAAACAUCAAGGCUUAUUGUGAUUUGUUGGCUGAUAUUAAACCAGCUCCUUAUCUAAUGAUCCAAGCUGAGAUCACGGCUCCAGGGAAGCAGACAUCCUCUACACAGCAUGAAAUGCACGCUAGAGCUCAUACAAUUCUGUUGCACGUUUUACCCCAUAUUGGCACACCUUUUCCUAAAUUGCAGCAAGCAGUCAGGGCACUGGAGCAGCAGAAUUCCAAACCAGGAAUGUAAAGGCUUGCUUACAGAGACCAACGCUGUCUGCAUGCUGGAGAGGGCAACACUUUGGUUACCAUUGGCUCAGGUGAGCAUCUUGCACAAUGCAGGCAAAUGCUUACCUAUCUAAGCAAGGCCUAGUAGUUUGGGUGACUGAAUUUUGACCUCUUAUUAUUCAGACUUUUGCUCCUUGGGAAUUCGUGUUA
rnacentral:lncRNA from 1 species